CUUCAUUUUGACAAGUGGCUGGUAGACGUAUCUGUACGAUUAGUGGUUGGUUCGCCGGAUAUCCAUUUCGGUUCGUCUGCUCACAACGAGGAUUUGGAAAAAAAUUGAUAAGUACUCGACGCAAUGGGUUGGUUUCAGUGAUUCGUACUUUUCCCGUCUCUCUGUCUCCAAGUGGUCCUUACGGAUUGAUUUAAGUCAGUAUCUAUUUAGUUUAUUAUUGAUGGGAAUAAAGCUACGAUGUAUAUUCAAGACUCGUUGAAACUGGAAAAAAACUGCUAUCUCGAGAAUCUUCAGAACUUCAAUAUCCGAUUUUUUCCUGUUUCUCCACUCCAUCGGAGGCGGCGCCCCUGAUAGUGGAGGUGCUCCUAAGGGCUUGCACAGUAGGCGUGUUGGCCUACUGUGCGAACCCUUGGAGUUUUUUUUUUUUAGAUUUUCGUUGCUGAUGACCGUGAGUGUCAUAAACAUUACUACUAGUGAUUUUUUAAACUGAUCUAGUGAUUUCAGUAGCCUAAUGUUUUGUACAUAUGCAAUGGUUUGUAUAAAUCUGAUGGUUUGUAUUAAACUGGUCUGAGUUCCUGUCUUAACAGUUAACUUGGAUUAGUAAGCCAUUUAAGUAUUCUUUAGGAUUACUGAAUUUAUUAGGUUAAUCCACUCUGGUUUUAGUUACUUAUUUACCCUAAUACUGCGAUUUCAAAAGCUAUUUUUGUUAUAUAUUAGUUGGUCAGUUUUUCAUAUGUAACAAUGUUUUCAGUUUAGGUUUGAAAUUGAUAGAAAACCUGUUGAAUGGUUACUUCUGGUUUAGUGUUUAGAGUUUUACAAAACUCGAGUUUAAUUUUUAGUUUCGGAUCAUGAAAUAAAUUGAUAUCUUAAAAUCCAAUGUUAUAAAUUUUUAAGUUUUUGGGAGUUUUUAUGUUGGAAGUUUUAAUGUUUUAAUGCAGUUUUUAUAAAUUCUAAAAGAUUUUGCAUUAAACUUUUGAGCAACAGUGUAAGUUAAAUUUUAAUUUGUUUGUUCUACUUUGUAUUUUAUUUUGCUUUUAAUUUAGAUUUAAGUUUUUCCUUGUUCAUGAUUAAGAAAGAUUCCAGUGUAUGUGCACCAUCCUGUAAAAACAAUUUUGUAACCACACAAUUUACCCUGAUUGUCAGAAGGCAGUUUCAGCUGUUAAAUGUUUUUUUUUUUAGAUUAAAGGAUAUAAAAGAUUUCGUGAUGUCUCAAUUGUUCUAAUUUGGAUUAGUGCUGUACAUCAAUUUGUUAACGAAUAUAAAGGAAAUAAGGUUUUUAGUAAUUUGUCUCUAGUUCUAAUUUGGAUUAGUGCUGUAUAUCAGUUUAACGAAUAUAAAGGAAAUUGACUGACUUUUUGGAAUUUCUUCUUGUGGCAUUCAGUGUUCUGAUGGCAGAGGCUAAAAAGUCUGGUUUUGUACAGUUCUCCCACCUAGGGUAAAAAUAUCUGGUAUGGCUCUAGUCUCGGCAGUUGGGCGUUUGUAAAACUGACUAGAUCCCAUAUAAUGCGCUGGUAAAAGAAAAAAAAAAAAAAAUCCCAUUAUGCUCUGGUUUAAAAAAAAAAUUGGGUUUGGAGAAAAUAUGGGGUUGGUGAACUGGUAGUCCCUUGUACAAUACAACAUUAAUGUAAGUAAUAACUUGCAGUCUCAAUUUAAAAAGUCUGUCCUACAGUAAGUAGUGUGGUUAGAAAUGUGGAAACUUUAGUUUGAUAUGGUAUACUUUGGUUGGAUGUUUGGUGAUUAGUGCCCCGAAGUUAGAUGAAUAAUUAUGUAGUUAAUGUGAAUGUAUUUGCACUGCAAAUGUAAUUUUGGAUAAAGGGUGAAACCAUAAUUACAAUCCAGGACUGCAGCAACUAACGGGCAUGUCUACUCGACACUGAUUAUUGAGGAAAAGUCAGUUUAACUGUAUAUAGGAUAUUUAGGAAAGAGAAGCUGUGCUUCCCAGCAUGUGAUAAUGGCAUUAAACCCAAUAAGGGAACUAGCGAUUUACGUAAUUUUUUACUGAUGGGAUGAGCUAUUAAACCUGAACGAGCGGUGUAGAUGGCAUUCCCCAAUUUUAUUAAAAGUUUAAAUGGAUCAAAAGUUUCAAAGUGCCUGAAAAAUGUUGCUUAAGGCGCUACUGUGCAUAGAGUUCAUAUGUCCUUUUUAAAUGAUAAAUUGGUUUUCAUUGAAGAACCUCAUAUUUUGCGAUAUCCUCCACGCAGUAUAGAUGAUCCAAACA